GGUAGCUCAGUUGGUAGAGCACUUGAUUGAAGCUCAAGGUGUCGGCAGUUCGAUUCNAGUGGUUCCG
rnacentral:tRNA from 1 species